rnacentral:antisense_RNA from 1 species
CUUGAGCGACCCGAGCCGCAGCGGCGUGCCCGCGCGGUCGCGGCCGUAGGUUGCCAGUAGGGCCUGCGCCUC